AAUUUGGACCCCACACCCGAGUGGGCCCUCUAGCAGCUGAGCCUACGGAGCUGGCAGCAAGCCCUGAGCUUUUCACCAGAUAAUGCAGCCUGUCAGUGUUUUCUGUGAGAGCCUGUCAAGAGUAUAGAUAAAGAGGCACAUGGACCUGGGCAGCAGCUGAACAUGCAGUUUUAGGAUGUAAGUUUUAGACCUAGCAAUGAGCAGUGAGCUGGGGGAAGGCUGGGAAGAAAAAUUUGAUAUGGAAACUUGCUGGAAAAAAAAAAUAAAUCACCGUGUUCUGUCUCUGUUGGAGUCAUAAAAGUUACACAAGGUACAAGUGAAAUCAACUCAGCAUCACUGGAUCCAUUAAUGAAGUAUGUGCAAUGGCUUCACACUGCACUGCCUUGAGAUUUUCACUUUGACUGGGAUUACCUCUUGUUUCUGUUGAAAUGUUCAAUCAGUUCUAUCUGUAAUUCCUUGCAUGUGUUCUCAACGCCCAGCCAGGUCUGAGGUUUUGUGGCACUGAUAUUUGGACUGCAAGCUGUAUGCUUGGGUUGACCAAGGACAAUGACAUUUUGUAGCAACUUUGACAGUUUCACUACAUGAUUUUUUUUCUGCCAAUUUAUUGAAAAUGGAUUCAGUCACUGACAUGCAAAUCCAGUGGUAAAGUGAAAUGUUCUCUCUUGCAGAGCAGGUGCACAUCUGGAUCCCCACAGCGCACUCUGCUAAAGCCCUUCCCAGAACUGCAAUGCACAGGUGGGAUGUUUGGCUCCAUCAAACAGCCUUUUGCAAAUUCCACCUCCACAAGGUAUGCACAGUGCUGCACCUGGCAGAGGUCGAGCACUGCACUGCAGUGGGCAGCUUGCUGGGUGGCAGGAGGAGCUUCCCCAGGUAUCUUGUCCUUAUCUUCACAAGUUUCUGUCUGGUACGUGGUGUUCAGUGUUUCACUGCUUAACAUUAUUUAAAGUACAACUUUGAGUCAGACCUAUAGGAUGAAGCAAGGCCAGCUAUUUGUGCCUGCUUUGUCAUGUGGGGUCUGCUAAGACAUGGGGACCAAGAGCACCCUGUGCUGCCUCCUCCCUGGUCUCCACCACCCCAGCCCUGGGCUCCCCCAGAGACCUACUGGCUCCAGCAGGAACAGCAGAAUGCAAACACGUCUGCACCAAAAGGCUCACUUCUACCAACAUUCUCCCUCCACAGGAAAUUAAUGAAGCAUAAGCUUCCAGGAGCUGUUAUCAGUUCAAACACUCAUGUUAAUAAGAAACUUAGUUUUGGUUGUUGUUUCUGUGUACCCUUUCCAAACAGCCGUAGAUCAAGGAGAGAGAAAUCAUCCAGAUGCUCUUGUGUAGCAAAAUAAAACAUGAGACACUUCUGACUUUAUCAAUCCUGUAACAACAACAAAGUUGACAGAUGAGCUUCAGACUCACAAAGCUUUUGAAAGCAACAAAAUAAAUCCAGUAGGGUUAACCCAACAUAUAUCAAGUCUAAAGCAAUCAUGUGAAAUGUGCUUUUUCACAUUAUAGAUUUCACUGGAACUCUUUUUCAUAUUCUGCUUAGAGCUACCCACGUAAGUAAUGCAUUAAUUAGCUAGAGAUUCAUGUAUAUAUACAUGUAUGUAUAUUAUCAUUGCCUAUGUAUUCUAUGUAAAUUGUCUAUGGCAUACAGCUUGACUCUUGUCUUUGAUCUGCUGAUAAUCUCAAAGUGUGUGGAUUUCAUCAGGCCAAAUAAUUUUUAUCUCUGCUGGGAGUACUUUUGGCAAGUUUUCCAUCAGUAGGAAAUGAGCUGGAAAACUGUGGUGAAACUUCAAAGCAGCAGCUUAAGGUGAUCAUUCACUUCAUGAAUUUCUGACUCUGUCUGCUGUUUAACAACAUACUGAGUUUUUCCUCCCUCAUACAGUUUGAAUAGGAAACUAUGAAUGGGAUGAAAGAUCCUGUCAGUUUGGAACAUGGAGUAUUUUCCAAAUUAUAAAUAUAGUAAGGGAAGCUUUAGCGACUUAAAAGCAGUCUUAGCAGUGUAUUUGUUUUUACAAAUAAAUGGACUGUAAAUCUUU